rnacentral:rRNA from 1 species
UGAGGAAUAUUGGUCAAUGGGGGCAACCCUGAACCAGCCAAGUCGCGUGAAGGAUGAAGGUCUUAUGGAUUGUAAACUUCUUUUACACGGGAAUAAAGUGGGGGACGUGUCCCCCUUUGCAUGUACCGUGUGAAUAAGGAUCGGCUAACUCCGUGCCAGCAGCCGCGGUAAUACGGAGGAUCCGAGCGUUAUCCGGAUUUAUUGGGUUUAAAGGGUGCGCAGGCGGGAUGUUAAGUCGGCGGUGAAAUUUUGCAGCUCAACUGUAAAAGUGCCUUCGAUACUGGCCUCCUUGAGUGUGGAUGAANUAGGCGGAAUUUGUGGUGUAGCGGUGAAAUGCUUAGAUAUCACGAGGAACUCCGAUUGCGCAGGCAGCUUACUAAGCCACAACUGACGCUCAUGCACGAAGGCGUGGGGAUCAAACA